rnacentral:rRNA from 1 species
GUGAACGCUGGCGGUAGGCCUAACCCAUGCCAGUCGAACGGCAGCACAGUAAGAGCUUGCUCUUACGGGUGGCGAGUGGCGGACGGGUGAGGAAUACAUCGGAAUCUACUUUUUCGUGGGGGAUAACGUAGGGAAACUUACGCUAAUACCGCAUACGACCUACGGGUGAAAGCAGGGGAUCUUCGGACCUUGCGCGAUUGAAUGAGCCGAUGUCGGAUUAGCUAGUUGGCGGGGUAAAGGCCCACCAAGGCGACGAUCCGUAGCUGGUCUGGGAGGAUGAUCAGCCACACUGGGACUGAGACACGGUCCAGACUCCUACGGGAGGCAGCAGUGGGGAAUAUUGGACAAUGGGCGCAAGCCUGAUCCAGCCAUACCGCGUGGGUGAAGAAGGCCUUCGGGUUGUAAAGCCCUUUUGUUGGGAAAGAAAAGCAGCAGGUUAAUACCCCGCUGUUCUGACGGUACCCAAAGAAUAAGCACCGGCUAACUUCGUGC